GAAAAAUGAAGGGUAAAUUUUUGGGUAUUGCACACACUGAUAUGAUAAAGGCAAUUUUGUUUUUGUUUUUUUAUUGUUUUUUUAUCCAGUUAGCCAAAAAGCCAACACUGAAAUAAUUUCAUCCCUUGUUUGAAACCCCCUUGAGCCUAUUAUCCUUUUUUUUGUUUAAAACUCAUUACAAACCGAGAAGUAAAAAACAAUGUUAUCCCCAUAUUCAAAGGGUUGAAAGAAUCUUGUUUGAAGUUGUGUGGGGUUGAAUAAUUAUCUUUGUAAUAUUUCAGAAGUUGGUAGAAAAAGAAAAGAAAAAUAGAAAAAGAAAAUAGAAAAGAAAAAAAUGAAUGAAAAAAAUAUAAGGAUGUCAAUACAUGUCAAUACAUACUCCUUCUAAAAAAAUAAAUAAAAAGAGAAAGGAGAAGAGAAAACAAUUGCUAUAGAGUUGU
rnacentral:lncRNA from 1 species